rnacentral:rRNA from 1 species
GAUGAACGCUAGCGGCAGGCCUAAUAUAUGCAAGUCGAACGGGAUCCAGAUCAAAGCUUGCUUUGGUCUGGUGAGAGUGGCGCACGGGUGCGUAACGCGUGAGCAACCUACCCUUGUCAGGGGGAUAGCCCGGCGAAAGUCGGAUUAAUACCGCAUGACAUCAUUGAGAGGCAUCUUUCGAUGAUCAAAGAUUUAUCGGACAAGGAUGGGCUCGCGUGACAUUAGCUAGUUGGUAAGGUAACGGCUUACCAAGGCUGCGAUGUCUAGGGGCUCUGAGAGGAGAAUCCCCGACACGGGUACUGGGACACGGACCAGACUCCUACGGGAGGCAGCAGUAAGGAAGAUUGGUCAAUGGACGGAAGUCUGAACCAGCCAUGCCGCGUGCAGGAAGACGGCCCUAUGGGUUGUAAACUGCUUUUAUACGGGAACAAACGUCGGUACGUGUACCGGUCUGAGUGUACCGUAAGAAUAAGGAUCGGCUAACUCCGUG